GUCAGUGUGGUGUAGUGGUUUGAACACUGGAUUAUGACUCUGGGGACCAGGAUUCAAAUUCCUGUUCUGGUA